AUACGUAGGGGGCAAGCGUUGUCCGGAAUCAUUGGGCGUAAAGGGCGCGUAGGCGGAUAUUUAAGUCUGAUGUGAAAACCUAGGGCUCAACCCUGGGACUGCAUCGGAAGCUGGGUAUCUUGAGGACAGGAGAGGAAAGUGGAAUUCCACGUGUAGCGGUGAAAUGCGUAGAUAUGUGGAGGAACACCAGUGGCGAAGGCGACUUUCUGGACUGUAACUGACGCUGAGGCGCGAAAGCGUGGGGAGCAAACAGGAUUAGAUACCCUGGUAGUCCACGCCGUAAACGAUGAGUGCCAGGUGUAGAGGGUAUCGACCCCUUCUGUGCCGCAGUAAACACAAUAAGCACUCCGCCUGGGGAGUACGGCCGCAAGGCUGAA
rnacentral:rRNA from 1 species